rnacentral:rRNA from 1 species
GACGAACGCUGGCGGCGUGCUUAACACAUGCAAGUCGAGCGGAAAGGCCCUUCGGGGUACUCGAGCGGCGAACGGGUGAGUAACACGUGAGUAACCUGCCCCAGACUUUGGGAUAACCCUCGGAAACGGGGGCUAAUACCGGAUACGACACAGCUUCGCAUGGGGUCUGUGUGGAAAGUUUUUCGGUUGGGGAUGGGCUCGCGGCCUAUCAGCUUGUUGGUGGGGUGGUGGCCUACCAAGGCGACGACGGGUAGCCGGCCUGAGAGGGCGACCGGCCACACUGGGACUGAGACACGGCCCAGACUCCUACGGGAGGCAGCAGUGGGGAAUAUUGCACAAUGGGCGGAAGCCUGAUGCAGCGACGCCGCGUGAGGGAUGACGGCCUUCGGGUUGUAAACCUCUUUCGGCAGGGACGAAGCGUAAGUGACGGUACCUGCAGAAGAAGCGCCGGCUAACUACGUG